rnacentral:rRNA from 1 species
UUGGAGGGCAAGUCUGGUGCCAGCAGCCGCGGUAAUUCCAGCUCCAAUAGCGUAUAUUAAAGUUGUUGCAGUUAAAAAGCUCGUAGUUGAAUUUCGGGACCAAUUUGUUGGUCGUGCCUCGGUACGUACUGGUAUUAUUGGUUUCUCCCUUCUGAAGAACCUUGAUGUCAUUAAUUUGGUGUCUUGGGGAAUCAGGACUGUUACUUUGAAAAAAUUAGAGUGUUUAAAGCAGGCAUACGCUUGAAUACAUUAGCAUGGAAUAAUGAAAUAGGACGUUUGAUUCUAUUUUGUUGGUUUCUAGGAUCGACGUAAUGAUUAAUAGGGAUAGUUGGGGGCAUUAGUAUUCAAUUGUCAGAGGUGAAAUUCUUGGAUUUAUUGAAGACUAACUACUGCGAAAGCAUUUGCCAAGGAUGUUUUCAUUAAUCAAGAACGAAAGUUAGGGGAUCGAAGACGAUCAGAUACCGUCGUAGUCUUAACCAUAAACUAUGCCGACUAGGGAUCGGAUGAUGUUAUUUUUAAUGACUCAUUCGGCGCCUUACGGGAAACCAAAGUGUUUGGGUUC